GGGGAAUAUUGCACAAUGGAGGAAACUCUGAUGCAGCGAUGCCGCGUGAGGGAAGAAGGUUUUAGGAUUGUAAACCUCUGUCUUCAGGGACGAAAAAAGGACGGUACCUGAGGAGGAAGCUCCGGCUAACUACGUGCCAGCAGCCGCGGUAAUACGUAGGGGGCGAGCGUUGUCCGGAAUUACUGGGUGUAAAGGGAGCGUAGGCGGGAUCGCAAGUCAGAUGUGAAAACUAUGGGCUUAACCCAUAAACUGCAUUUGAAACUGUGGUUCUUGAGUGAAGUAGAGGUAAGCGGAAUUCCUAGUGUAGCGGUGAAAUGCGUAGAUAUUAGGAGGAACAUCAGUGGCGAAGGCGGCUUACUGGGCUUUAACUGACGCUGAGGCUCGAAAGCGUGGGGAGCAAACAGGAUUAGAUACCCUGGUAGUCCACGCCGUAAACGAUGAUUACUAGGUGUGGGGGGACUGACCCCUUCCGUGCCGCAGCAAACGCAAUAAGUAAUCCACCUGGGGAGUACGACCGCAAGGUUGAAACUCAAAGGAAUUGACGGGGGCCCGCACAAGCAGUGGAGUAUGUGGAUUAAUUCGAAGCAACGCGAAGAACCUUACCAGGUCUUGACAUCGUAUGCAUAGCUCAGAGAUGAGUGAAAUCUCUUCGGAGACAUAUAGACAGGUGGUGCAUGGUUGUCGUCAGCUCGUGUCGUGAGAUGUUGGGUUAAGUCCCGCAACGAGCGCAACCCUUACUGUUAGUUGCUACGCAAGAGCACUCUAGCAGGACUGCCGUUGACAAAACGGAGGAAGGUGGGGAUGACGUCAAAUCAUCAUGCCCCUUAUGACCUGGGCCUCACACGUACUACAAUGGCUGUAAACAGAGGGAAGCAAAGCCGCGAGGUAGAGCGAACCCCUAAAAGCAGUCUUAGUUCGGAUUGUAGGCUGCAACCCGCCUACAUGAAGUCGGAAUUGCUAGUAAUCGCAGAUCAGCAUGCUGCGGUGAAUACGUUCCCG
rnacentral:rRNA from 2 species